rnacentral:tRNA from 1 species
UCGACGCCCGGCGGGACGGCGGAGUCGUCCGGGGCCUCCGGGGCCUCGGGCACCUCGGCGAGGUCGCGCUCCUCGACCUCGGAC